rnacentral:rRNA from 1 species
GAUGAACGCUGGCGGCGUGCCUAAUACAUGCAAGUCGAGCGAAUGGAUUAAGAGCUUGCUCUUAUGAAGUUAGCGGCGGACGGGUGAGUAACACGUGGGUAACCUGCCCAUAAGACUGGGAUAACUCCGGGAAACCGGGGCUAAUACCGGAUAACAUUUUGAACCGCAUGGUUCGAAAUUGAAAGGCGGCUUCGGCUGUCACUUAUGGAUGGACCAGCGUCGCAUUAGCUAGUUGGUGAGGUAACGGCUCACCAAGGCAACGAUUCGUAGACGACCUGAGAGGGGGAUCGGCCACACUGGGACUGAGAAACAGCCCAGACUCCUACGGGAGGCAGCAGUAGGGAAGCUUCCGCAAUGGACGAAAGUCUGACGGAGCAACGCCGCGUGAGUGAUGAAGGCUUUCGGGUCGUAAAACUCUGUUGUUAGGGAAGAACAAGUGCUAGUUGAAUAAGCUGGCACCUUGACGGUACCUAACCAGAAAGCCACGGCUAACUACGUGCCAGCAGCCGCAGUAA